UGGGCUGUAAGAUUUAUCUGUUACUUCUUAACAUAUAAUUUGUACACCUGUCUAGGAUUUAACUUGGAAAAGAUUUUUCAAAACUUGGUACGAUUAUAUAAAAUGUGUGCUUAUGACCAUAGCUGGUAGGCAUGUGAGAUGGUAAGGCAUUUCCGCAGAGCAGAGGUUCAUAAAAGCUUUAUCAUGCAUCAGAGCUAUCCGGAAGGCUUUUUAAAACACAGAUUGCUCAGCUGGGCGCAGUAGGGUGCGCCUGUAGUCCUAGCUACUUGGGAGGCUGAGGCAGAAGGAUCUUUUGAGCCCUGGAGUUUGAGGCUACAGCAUGCUAUGAUUGUGCCUGUGAAUAGCCACUGCACUCCAGCCUGGGCGGCCUAGCAAGACCCUGUCUCUAAAACAAUAACAUCAACUAAAACAAAAACCACGCAGAUUGCUGGACCCCAACCUAGAGUUUCUGAUCCAGUAGUAUUGGGGUGGGGCCUGAGAAUUUGCAUUUCUGACAAGUCCCCAGAUGAUGUUGAUCCUUAUUCUCCUGGCCCAUAGACCACUUAAUUAAAGCCAGCAAAGUAGUCAUCAACGUUGACCCAGGAUAUAAGCUGAAGAUGAUGAACAGCCUUGAGGCAGUAAGGGAGGCCUGCCCUCCAACAUCAGGAAGCCAAGUGAAGGCGUGACUCACCAGGGCAGGGUGGGGUUCCUGCGUGUGAGAAACCAGAAUUGAGAGCUGCACCAGCUGUGUGGCCCCAGGUUUCUCAGGGUGAGGAGAGGCAGCCCAGGGGAAAGGCACUCGGGACCACACCCCAACUCACCUACCCUGUAUAAUAAAAGAAGGCGUGCAAGAAGAUCUAUAUGCAGUGACGUGCAAAGGUAUCAAGAACAAGUUGCGAAACCCCAUGGUAUGAUUUCAUCUGAUUAAAAGAAAAAAGGUGGUAGGUGCUGAAUGGUUGAAUAAAUGAACAGUCCUAAAAUGGAUAUAUUUUGGGGCAACAGUAAGUUGCCCCCAGGAAGAAAAUCACUUUUGGAAAAUAAAACUGGCAAGAAUCUAUGCUAAAUGGAUGAGACCAGCCACAGAAGCACUUCAUCCUAAAAGAUGGCAGAUCCCUACCUCUCCUCCCUUAGGGGAGGACGAAGGUGUCCCAGCCAAGGAAGAUCCUGGUCUCCAAGGGCUGUACCCUACUGAUCCGGAGGCAAAGCAGUGAGGGCCCACCCCAAUUCCUCACCUCCCAUUCUACUCUUCGGCAGAAGCAUCUCAGUGUUGGAAAGAUAAGGAUUUCUUCCUAAAAAGGAAGGAUUACACUAUAUCAGAGUCUGAAGAUACAGUUUUCAUUUGCAACGCAAGGGAAUUCCUUUGAAUCUCUACCUUAUGAUUUCCCUGCAAACCCACUCCGAUGGGGCUGGAGAGUGCUCUCUCACUCAGAUGAAUCUCUCAG
rnacentral:lncRNA from 1 species